rnacentral:rRNA from 1 species
UACGUAGGCAGCGAGCGUUGUUCGGAAUUACUGGGCGUAAAGAGUGUGUAGGCGGUGCUCUAAGUUCGGUGUGAAAUCUCACGGCUUAACUGUGAGCGUGCGGGCGAUACGGGCAGACUAGAGUACUGCAGGGGAGACUGGAAUUCCUGGUGUAGCGGUGGAAUGCGCAGAUAUCAGGAGGAACACCGGUGGCGAAGGCGGGUCUCUGGGCAGUAACUGACGCUGAGGAGCGAAAGCGUGGGGAGCGAACAGG